rnacentral:rRNA from 1 species
AUUGAACGCUGGCGGCAUGCCUAACACAUGCAAGUCGAGCGAGCGGCUGCCGGGUGAGUAAUGUAUGGGGACUGCCCGAUAGAGGGGGGUAACUACUGGAGACGGUAGCUAAUACCGCAUACUAUCAGAUAACCCAUAUGGGAGUAGCUAGUAGGUGAGGUAAUGGCUCACCUAGGCGACAAUGCCUAGCUGGUCUGAGAGGAUGAUCAGCCACAUUGGGACUGAGACACGGCCCAGACUCUUACGGAGGCAGCAGUGGGGAAUAUUGCACAAUGGGCGAAAGCCUGAUGGAGCCAUGCCGCGUGUGUGAAGAAGGUCGUCGGGUUGUAAAGUACUGUUAGUCGUGAGGCGGUAACGACAGAGGAAGCCACGGCUAACUCCGUGCCAGCAGCCGCGGUAAUAC